rnacentral:lncRNA from 1 species
UACCUUGAUUUUGCCUUCAUUAAUCUUAUUAAGUUUCUGCAAAGCUUGUUCCGUGAGUGCCCAAUGGGCAUGUUUUCUUUACCAAAGUUCACGGCUCUAUGUUCAAACCACUAAUUUCCACGGCUUCACUCCAGUGCUUUAGUGCUCCUCAGGCCCUCCAGGAAUGAGCUCAAUUAUCAACCCCGAGUGAAUCUGAAACCCGACUCAGUCUUCGCAUGAUCUGAUGAAAGCAGCGGAGUUUUAUAAAUGUCACUAGAGAAAUUGUUGAAGCUGGGCUGCUAGAGGCCGGCCAGGCCAUCGCUUCCUCCUGCGGACUUGUGGCUCAUUAUCUUUCAAAUAUUUGAAGCAGAUCAGUGGUCAUUGUGGGUCUUAGGGUUUAAGAUUUUACCCUGAAAAGCAUUCCUUGUAAUACUUGGCAUGCACAUUCAAAAAAAAAAAAAAAAAUCAUGUCAAGAGACUGGCAGUUUUUAAAUUAAUUAUUUGAGCUUGAACAAUUCAAAAGUGUCAUCAAAUUAAAACAAGGUAAUUUGGCAGAGAGGUCAUUGCCCAUCAUGUCUUCUAAUUGCUUUUCUGUAUUUUGAAAAAACAAAAACAAAAGGUUAAAUGCUGAGAUAAUGAACUUUGAGCACAGCGUUCCACAGCAGCCCCACUGGUGAUGGAAAACAGCGCUGGUUUCCAAACAGACCCGUCAGAUCCGGCCCAGAAGGAUCUGUUUCAGGAAGUGGCAGGUCUGAGACGCCAUCUCCUUAGAACACCUGCACAGCACAGCCGCAGACUGCAGAGCUGGCCAUGGAGCAAGGAGAAGAAAAAGGGAAACACAAAGGAAACGAGUCUCGGAGAGGUGGUGAGCCAAAUGAUGAAGGCAGAGAACAAGAGCCACCAGCUCCAGCUGGACUUUGCGAUGCUUCCCUGAAGCACGAGCCACAGCAGGACAGUCUCUGAGACCCUAGACGCACCUCUUCUCUGAGUUUGUGGUGAAGCUCAGUGUUCCCCAAGUGCUGCAGCCUCUGCCGCGGUCCACAGCCCGGGUGUCUGAUGUCCUCAGGAGCACUGGAGGCAGAGCUUUUCCAGGAGCGCAUCUUGGACUAGCUGUCUCCAAGUUUUCAACUCAAGUGUCUCCCCCAUGAGGUGACAUAGUGCCGCUCUGUGCUGCUUUCCCAGGACCUGGUGCAGCACCCGGCAUGUACUGGGACCCCAGUCAGUGUGAUCCCAGCGAAGUUGCGAAGGAAUGAGCACGAGGAGAAUAACACGGCUGUUACCCACGAGGGCAUUCGUCCUAUUGUCUGCACGAACACACACACACACACAGCUUGAACCCAUGAAUGAUUGUAAUAAAAUGUAAUCACAUCCGAAUGAAAGGAGAGUU